rnacentral:rRNA from 1 species
UACGAAGGGGGCUAGCGUUGCUCGGAAUCACUGGGCGUAAAGGGUGCGUAGGCGGGUCUUUAAGUCAGGGGUGAAAUCCUGGAGCUCAACUCCAGAACUGCCUUUGAUACUGAAGAUCUUGAGUCCGGGAGAGGUGAGUGGAACUGCGAGUGUAGAGGUGAAAUUCGUAGAUAUUCGCAAGAACACCAGUGGCGAAGGCGGCUCACUGGCCCGGUACUGACGCUCAACUACGAAAGCGUGGGGAGCAAACAGG